AAUUUGAAUGAAUGGAUGAUAUGCACAGUACCAACAUUGAAGAAGGUGGCUGAUCUCCUUCUAGAAUUGGACAAGCUUCUCUUCAGUGUUGGAGGUUACUCGUACUUGUAUGAGCCACUGUGGCGGGUGGGCAUGAUAACAAGCUACAGAAUUUGAUUGAAACCUUGCAAGCAAACUCUUAUUCCAGUAUGUUCUUCACGGGAACUUAUUUGAAGAUGGCAAUCACUUGUACCGCUUCUUGGAUCAUGAUCCUAUUGUGAUGUCUCAAUGUCACAACAUUCCAAGGGUUAUAACAAAAGUAAAGCCAAAGCCGAUAAUAGAAAUUUCAUCAAGGCUUAAAUUUUUGUCGUAUGCAAUCUUUGAAGCUUAUGCAUCGGAAGAUGGAAAACAUGUUGAUUAAGUAUCCAUGAGAGUGAGGAAUUUGCAAGGUUUGUUGGAACAUUUGAUUUAUAUGGAUAAACUUG